rnacentral:misc_RNA from 1 species
AUGAAGACCGUGACAAAGUUGUUAUGGAGUCAGAUAGCGAUCUCACAGCAGCCGUUGAGCAUGCAAAGUUAGCUGGUUUCAAGGGUUUGAGAUUGCAUUUAGACUAUUCUGGAAUACGUGGUGGUCGUAGGAGUUCGACUUCAGGAGAGAUGUAUUAUGCUCAUGCAGAUGCAUGGGCUGCUGCAUACAGUGCAGUUGCAGCGGGUGCGGCUCUGGUUGCUGGGUUAGGUGUACUAGCGUACUUGAGAAGAUCUGGUUACUAAUGCCUAAAUGAAAGGGGGGAAAAAAGAAUUAACAGUUCACACAAAUUAAUCUCCUGUACUAAAUGACCAAGAUGGAAUUGGCUGGGGGGGCAUUUCUUGUGCUUGAUGUGUGUUUUUUGUGGAACUACAUAUGCACAAGAAAAAAGAAAAAAAGAAAAAAAGAAAGAAGAAAAUUUCUUGGUGCUGGCCUGCUGGGUACUCCNNNNNNNNNNNACAUAAUCACAUGUAUUGAUUGCUGAUCAGGUACAUGUGUAUUCUUUCUGGUACAAAAAAUCUCCCACUUUCUCAGCCUGUUUUUUUCUAAAG